UACCUGCUGUUGUUCUCUUCAAUAAAUAACUAGCUUGGAGUCUAAAGAGUGAUGGAAAUUUAAAAGAAUCUACCUUGUAUUUGGCUAAGAAGUCUCCAGAGGUGCAGUUAGUAGCUGUAUUAGUAAAAUGGAGCAAACUUGACUGUUAACUUGAAACGCUCUGAAAUCCCAGGAAGGAAGAAGAUAGCAAGGUGCAUUGACGACCAGAAUGUAAAAUUGAGGUACAGGUUGCUACACAGAGGAGCAAAGAGGUAGUACCAAUACUGUUACAUGUCCUUGUUCCAGAAAAUACCUGUUUUCAUAGAUGUUUCAUUGCAGUUGCUCAAAUGAGAUACUGGUAAAUCUGAUCAUCAGGGUACAGAUCUGGUAGGAAUAUCAUUUAGCUAAUAACUAAGCAUAACCAGAAUGCAAUCAAGGUGUUUCUCUUUAGCUUUCCAGGAUAUGGGAUGCACAGGACAUCUGAAGCUGCUGAAGAAAGCACUGUUGUGCAAUAUGCACAUAACCUGAUAGACAUCUAGUCACAUUAUACCUCGAUUUUUAAAGAAAAAUAUUAUAGAUGUGUAUAUGGACAACAAAACCACUCAAAGUUACUAAAAUUUGGAGACCUGUCCCCAUUGUGCCUGAAUGCCAGAGGAUAAAGAUGAUGGUAUCCUUUGUGACUGAGGACCUCCAGGCUUGGAUGGUGUGGGGAUUGCUUGCCUGUAUUAAUCAUCAGUGCUGUACUCCUCUGUCUCCAGCCUCAUGUGGCUGCUCUCAGGUGGCUUAUGCUUCCCCUGGGAAAUACACUCAAGCCUAUUUUUCUUUCAGGAUCCAGCUCUGUUUCCCAGACAUGUAGGGAAUUGGCCCAGUGUUUCACAGGGCGACACAUCAGCCUGCACAUUAGGUGAACAAACGGGUUGGCUCAGCUCCCUCUGCUUCUGCUUUAGUCAGGGGAGACACCCAGGCUAAAGGAUCCCAGGAAGGUGUUCCCACGAGCCAGGGGGAGUCUGGCCCCUCAGCCAGCACAGAGGGCUUCACCUCACCCAAAUUUACCUGGCCAGAAGUAAAGUCUCUCAGCUGAACUGGUGUCUGUACUGCCUCUGUAGCCAGAGGCAAUGGAGGGAGGCAGCUCUAGUUGAUUCAUCCCUUUGUAUUCCAGGUACAUGGGUAGGUGGGAUGAAUCAUUGUCUGGCACCACCUCCAUUGACUGCAGAAAGAAUUAGGCAACCAAUUUAGGUGAGACGCUUAAUUUCUAAAUGAGUAAAGCGAGGUUAAAUAAUCCCUCCUUGAGUUGCACUCUAAUGGGGAAGGCUAAUGACUGUAUAUUAUUUGAAGAGAGAGGCUGUUCCUCGCCUCAGUAAAACAAAAUCACUUUGUUACUUGUUUUCAAGCUGUGCUAUUUGUUCUAAUGGGUGGAUCACUGCUCUCUAAUAUAGCAGGUAAAAUGAGAGGACACAUCUAAAUCAUUGAUACAAUAUUGCCAAGUGCUUGUAUCUUCUGCUGACAUCUGGCAGCAUGUUGUUUCCUGAAGCCUUAGGCAUUGAAAGCAAGUGAGAAUACCACCUUCUUUCUCUUUAAUAUAAAUCAGAAUUUUAUGCUUCUAGUCAUGCAGAAAACAAGAAUGAAAAAGCAUUAUCUGAUUAUGCUAUACAAAGAAAAAAGUUUUAAACAAGUAAAAAGUAACAAGGAUAUACUAAAAAUAACAACUCUCCCCCAUUUUAACCUGUUUUUCAAGUCCAACCCAAGAUUGUCUUCUUUCUACUUUCAAUAUAUAAUUCUCUAUAAUAAAACAGAACGAACCCUAAACUUUGUUGCAAACUUAGAAUUAAAAACCCCAACAGUCUCCAGCUGGAGUAUCCACUACAGAACAGCCAGUGAAAAACACCAAAGACAUUAGCUUUGUCACCUGUUCCUUCACCAGCUGGACCCUCCAAGAGAUUCCUUCUAUUUUCUUUCACACACAGGGGCCACAUGCAAAGCUCAGAGACCAUCUCUGUCUGUUGCUUGUUAAUUGGGCUGUUUUGUGAAAGUAGAAGAGAGUUCAAAAAGGCUGAGCUGCAGCAGAUGCAACCGGGGUUUCACGGGUCCCCAGUCACGUGGAAGACUCACACAGUAGUGGGUCAGACAAAAUGCUUCUACUUCGACUUGUUAUCUCAUUAGCUGUCCAUUCCUUCAGGCCACAGGGCUCCUACAGUUAGCUACAGGUCAAAGCCUUUGUCCCACCCAGAACAAGAAAAUCUGCUGUAUUUCAGCAUGUAGCAGGGCUCUUUCCAAAUCUUGAGGAAGACAAUAGAAACAAGCCUUUAAUAAAGAGAAUUAAUGAAAGAAUAUACUCUAGAUAUUGAAGGGUGAUUCAAGAAUGAACAACCAGCCCCACCAUGAGCAGCUUCUUCACUUGGGGAUUUAGCAGAGGAAAAACAGAAGUGCAGUUCUCAAUUUGGAAGCAAUGCUGCAUAAGCAUGGGGAUGAUGGAGUAGGAGUCAAAGAGCUUUCUGUUACUAUUUUUCUAAGUAGGGUUGCUGGUACAUGUAUCUUAAAAUGAAAUUAGGAAAGGAUUGAAUGCAAAAGGAGUGUUUAUAUCACAAGCAGUUGGAGAUUCAGGACUCAAACCCUGGCAGCUGACUUCUGUCUUACCUGGGCAAAUCACUGCUCUCUCAACCUUCAUUAAGUAGCCACAUUUGAAAUAGACCUAUUCCACUUCAUCUUCCAUGGAUUGUGAAUAUUUUAAAUCAUUUUUGAAACACUCUUUGAAAUUCUGCAAGGCAAGGAAUUAUAAGCAGCGCAAAGUAUGACUAAUGUUUGUGUGAGUCAUCGAUGGUGCUACCAAAGAUAGUUUUGGAGAAAUGAAUAUGCACAAAAUAAGUCUGAUCCUGCAAAUUUCAAAGAUCUCCUGCCAUGUGUAGGGUGGAUGUGAGUACAUCAAACAAAGUGCUGGGAUUUUCCCAAGCGCCCCAUGAUAGCCUGCUCCAGCCUGCUGCCCUGAGAGGGAAAACAUGGACUGCCAAGACAAAGCUGAGUGCUUUGGAUGUCCUGCCAUGACCUGUGGAAAAACAAGGAAGCCUGGAAGAGGAAAAGUGCAUCUCCUCCAUAAGCAGAUGAAAUUUUGGGAAUACUGACCUAAAAUGCCCUGCCUGGCCCCACUGCCCACAGAAGCACUGAUGGAGAGCUGACCCUGGCGAGCCAGCCAUCUGGUACACACAGCGUGCUGCAGUGGGAAGAAAGGGGUGCUGUGUUCCAGCAGUACCGUGGCCAAACAACCAGCAGCAGCAAGGGAAAUGGCCUUAUUCUUUUGGCAAAAGCCUCUCCAUAUAUACAUGUGUCUGUUCUCUCACCCACCCCCUGUCUGAAUGAGAAAUCAGGGCCUUCUUGACAUGAGGCAGCACAUGCCAGAUGCCGAGCAGUCAACAAGACAGAUGCUGCCAGGAGGACAAAAGAGUGUUUUUUCCCCAUGGGAAAUUAUAACAGAAGCAAACUUGGGACUACUUCUUUGCUCAUACAUAUUUCAAUUUUGUGUACAAUAUGAACGGUGUGUAUUCUGAGGAAGAGUGUUCUCUGGACAAGACAGGAGAGCCUUGAGAGAGAUGCCAGACUUUUAUCUGGUGAUGGAUGUUGUCAAACCUGUGGAAAGCUUUGCAAUGUGACCCUAGAUGAUUACUCAAGAGCAUGUUCCAGAUGUGUCGCAUCUCCGUGACUGAUGGCUGCCAGAUGGCUGCUUGGGAGAGGGCAGAAAAAGGAUUUCUGAGACCUUCACCUUGUGGAAAAUUACAGCAGCUUCCUUAGGACGAGACCUGAUUUUGUCCAGUUAUUUAGAGAGCAACACACAGUUUAACAUGUGGACUUGAGAGAAAAAAAAUGAAAUAGAAAAGAAGAUUGAUAAUCAUAAUUAAAGGUCUAUGAGACACUCACAUUUGAUGCUUUGUUACUGAGGAUUUUUGCUGUGGCGAAACAUUCAUCUUUUACACCAGCAUUUCACAGAAACCAACGUGGAGCCUUGAGGGUAUGUCUGGAACACAGGCUAUGUUGCUUGGUUUCAUAUCUCUGGGAAGUCACAAAGCAGUGAAAGCCUGAAGUGGAAAUGCCCUUUCCCAUGCCUGGGAGUUAUGACCCUGUUUGCUGCCUAAGCCACUGACCUUCAACUCCACACCAGCUCUGCUGGAGCUUCUGCCUCAAGGACUUGACUGCAGAUGGUCCAUAGGAGCCAUCCUGCUUCUUUCUCCUCUUGACUCCAUCCCUUCAGGGAGGAAACGCAGACCUCGAGCUGCAAGAAGAGUCAAGGACAUGGUUCAUCCUUACCUUAAUUGGAAAAUGCUGGAGUGACACAGCCAGCCAUCUGGCUUCUCCAUCAGGUUGUUAGCACUGUUUCACAGAGGAGUCUUUAAAGUCAGGAAGUGACCCUGGAUCACUGGUGAGGAAAGGAAGGGGCUACUGGCCAAGCAUUUAUGAUUUCAGCUUCUUGUGACCCCAAGAAUACCACAGAUCUUUGCUGAGGGUUACAAAUUAGCCCAUCAGAGAGAAAAUUUUUAUUCAGAGACCAAAGUUACUUUAAAGAUCUGGAUUUUGGAAAGGAAUGAAGCAAAAGUGAAAGAUUCAUUCCUGUUCAGCAUUUCUGUCCAUCCACAAGAAGCCCAGGAGUCAGUAAAUCUGUCAGAGUUGUUUUAAUAACUCUCAGCUAAAGCCUCAUUCACUAAAUCUGUCAAUACAGAAAAGCUUUAUUGCUGUGGAAAAGUAGAUCCACUCAGUGCAAGCAUGUAUUUUGCUAAAUGUGGGAGGAUUAUGGACAUGGAUAAUCUGCUACUUUUGCUGCCAGUUUAUAUUGUUUGUUAACUGUCCUGUAUUCCAGAAGUCUCUCUUCCCAUUUGCCAGAAUUUUGUAGUAUAUGUGUAAUUACAGGGAGACAUCUAUACACAGAGAGUUGCACGUAAAUGCGUACCUACAUGUACAGUUUUCCACAUUGCUAAAUGUGCUGCCCAGGCAUCUCCAUGGGAAAAAAAAAAUAAUAAAAAAAAAAUAUAUAUAUAUAUAUAUUACUUGCUGAAAUCCUGAAAUCUUUCUCAGUUGUUAAACUUUCUGGCUGAAUUGUAGCAGAUCUGAGCAAGUUGUUAUAUCUCUCUUUUUAGUUCUGUGGCUGGAAAAUGGGAAGAACAGACCUACAUAUCCUCUUCAAGGUAUCUCAGGUGCUGGAAGGGGGAUGGAAACUCCCAGGCUAAAAAUAGAGGACAUGACCUGGGACAUGUUCAAGGUUACACAGAAGUUCCUGAUGACUGAUGCAGGCGUUUCAUCUGGCUCUGCAUGAGGCACCAGGCUAUGUAUUUUCUGAUAAGGCUAGAAAGAAAAUCAGAACAGGUACACUGUUCUUUGCACAGCUGCACAUUGUCUGUCCUUCCAAAGGAAGAGGUAGAGCUUCUGACAAAGCAAUUAUGUGAGGGUGAAAUGAAAAUCUGUGCUUGUAUUGGGUACACGCACAUGCACACGCAUGCACAGGGUUACUGUAUAAAAACUCCAAGGGCAACUCUGUCACAGUCAUUUCCCUGCAGCAGGCUUUGCAGCCAUUUAAACCUAAAUGUUCUUCUAAUAUUGGACUUUUGGUAUGGUGUUUUAUGGCUUCAUUUGUCAUGUAGCUUUUUCUUAGGUGCUGCCUUUAUUUUUGCUUUAAACUGGAGGAUAUGCUGAGAAAGGGUAAUAACUUGCCUGUAAUAGGGGGCAGAAAGAACAAUUUCUCUGCUUAUUUUUGCACAAAACAGAGGCAAAAUAUUCAGUGUAAGAGAGUUUUGAUGAUACCAUAUCUUUCAAGUCUUUCUCAUAUUUUCCAGUAAUGGUGCUAUUAUGUAUUUUUGAUUCUUUUUAUGAUUACAGCAUGUGACAUCCUAGUGCAGUGCAUGAAUUUAUCCUUUUGCAAUGAUAUGGAAGCUUUCAUUUCCACUUCAGUGCUUCCCUUAUCUACCAGCUGCCCAUCAUUCUCUGUCUCUUUGGUGCCUUCUCUUUUUCCUCACUCCUUACCCUCCUUCCCCCAAAAAAGAAGAAAUCAAUUUUCUGUUGAAAAAUAAUCUUGGUGUGAUAACUUUCUGACCCUGGGUGGAAAUACUUGUUAUAAAUGAGACCUGCUUGCCCCACAUCCAUGAAGGGGAGAUGAGCUAGACAGCACCUAAAAUGGAGAGUGUGUAAAAGUCCAAUAGAUGUGCAGCAGGGCUACUCCAUGCAGGACUGGGAAGACUGGAAAAAAAUCUGUCCCUUUGCUCACAUGGGUGCUGCAAUCACAGUGGCCAAAACAGUGGUGAUU